rnacentral:rRNA from 1 species
GACGAACGCUGGCGGCGUGCUUAACACAUGCAAGUCGAACGGAAAGGCCCUGCUUUUGUGGGGUACUCGAGUGGCGAACGGGUGAGUAACACGUGAGUAACCUGCCCUUGACUUUGGGAUAACUUCAGGAAACUGGGGCUAAUACCGGAUAGGAGCUCCUGCUGCAUGGUGGGAGUUGGAAAGUUUCGGCGGUUGGGGAUGGACUCGCGGCUUAUCAGCUUGUUGGUGGGGUAGUGGCUUACCAAGGCUUUGACGGGUAGCCGGCCUGAGAGGGUGACCGGCCACAUUGGGACUGAGAUACGGCCCAGACUCCUACGGGAGGCAGCAGUGGGGAAUAUUGCACAAUGGGCGGAAGCCUGAUGCAGCAACGCCGCGUGCGGGAUGACGGCCUUCGGGUUGUAAACCGCUUUCGCCUGUGACGAAGCGUGAGUGACGGUAAUGGGUAAAGAAGCACCGGCUAACUACGUG